rnacentral:lncRNA from 1 species
UAGUAGUAGCCCCUGUACCUUGACUUGCGUGGGAUUUGUGGAUAUUGUCUGUUGUCUGUUGUUGCUAUUACUGUGGUCGUUUCUUGCACUGCUUUGGAUUGGGUUAUCGGCUGGGAAUCUGUAUAGUUUUGUUUCGGGAGUAUUUCUUUGAAUUUGUGUGAGCCUUGUAUUUCCUUGCUGCUGCUUUGAUACUAUCACCGUGUAUAUCUGUGUAUCUUUAUAUUUUUUCAUACUUUCGUGUAGUUGUGGCUGUGGGCGGU